rnacentral:rRNA from 1 species
UACCAGCACCCCGAGUGGUCGGGACGAUUAUUGGGCCUAAAGCAUCCGUAGCCGGUUCUGCAAGUCCCCCGUUAAAUCCAGCUGCUCAACAGAUGGGCCGCGGAGGAUACUACAGAGCUAGGAGGCAGGAGAGGCAAGCGGUACUCAGUGGGUAGGGGUAAAAUCCGUUGAUCCAUUGAAGACCACCAGUGGCGAAGGCGGCUCACUGGCCCGAUACUGACGCUGAGGCACGAAAGCGUGGGGAGCAAACAGG